rnacentral:rRNA from 1 species
CCUACGGGAGGCAGCAGUGGGGAAUAUUGGGCAAUGGGCGCAAGCCUGACCCAGCAACGCCGCGUGAAGGAAGAAGGCCUUCGGGUUGUAAACCUCUUUUGUCAGGGAGCAAAGGCGUCCACGUGUGGACGAGAGGAGAGUACCUGAAGAAAAAGCAUCGGCUAACUCCGUGCCAGCAGCCGCGGUAAUACGGAGGAUGCGAGCGUUAUCCGGAUUUAUUGGGUUUAAAGGGUGCGUAGGCGGGCUGUUAAGCCGGCGGUAAAAAUUCAGGGCUCAACCCUGUCGAGCCGUCGGAACUGGCAGUCUUGAGUGGGCGAGAAGUAUGCGGAAUGCGUGGUGUAGCGGUGAAAUGCAUAGAUAUCACGCAGAACGCCGAUUGCGAAGGCAGCAUACCGGCGCCCAACUGACGCUGAGGCACGAAAGCGUGGGGAUCGAACAGGAUCAGAUACCCGAGUAGUC